ensembl:rRNA 5S_rRNA 5S ribosomal RNA
GCCUACGGCCUGCCGCCCUGAGAGCGGCCGGUCUCGCCUGAUCUCGGAAGCUAAGCAGGGUCGGGCCCGGUUAGUACUUGGAUGGGAGACCGCCUGGGAAUACUGGGUGCUGUAGGCU